rnacentral:rRNA from 1 species
GACGAACGCUGGCGGCGUGCUUAACACAUGCAAGUCGAACGGAAAGGCCUGCUUUCCCUUGUGGAUUGCGGGUACUCGAGUGGCGAACGGGUGAGUAACACGUGAGUGAUCUGCCCCCAACUUGGGUAUAAGCCUGGGAAACUGGGUCUAAUUCCCGAUAGGACUGCAGGGUGGUGCCUGUGGUGGAAAACGAUUUUCUAGUGGUUGGGGAUGAGUUGGCGGCCUAUCAGCUUGUUGGUGGGGUAAUGGCCUACGAAGGCGGCGACGGGUAGCCGGCAUGAGAGGGAGGACGGUCACAUUGAGGCUGGGUAACGGCCCAGACUCCUCCGGGAGACAGCAGUGGGGAAUAUUGCGCAACGGGCGGAGGCCUGAUGCAGCGACGCCACGUGGGCGAUGACGGCCUUCGGGUUGUAAACUCCUUUCGACCGCGAGGAAGCCACCUGGCUGGAAGGGUGGUGACGGUAGUGGUAGAAGAAGCACCGGCUAACUACGUG